ensembl:lncRNA
AUGUCUCUGUCUUUGUUUUCGUGUCUCUGUGUGACUGUCUCUCUCUAUCUCAAUGUCUCUCUCCGUGUCUGUCUCAUCUUUCUCUCUCUCUGCCUCCUUUGCUCACUGUCCAUCUCUCUCUUUCCCCCCUCACCGGCUCUGCCUCCCUUUCUGUCUCUCUCUCCACCUCUCUGUCUCCCCAUCUCUCUCUCCACAUCUCUCUAUCUCUACCUCUCUUUCCAUCUCUCACUCCCUGUCUCUUUCUCUCCCAUCUCUCUAUCUCUGCCUCCCUGUCUCUCUCUCCAUCUCUCUCGCUUCCCCAUCUGUCUCUCUCCCUUUAUCUCUCUGUCUCUGCCUCUCCCUGUCUCUUUCUCUCCAUCUCUUUAUCCCUCUUCCCCCUGUUUCUGUCUCUGCCUCCCUUUCUCUCUCUCCCUACAUCUCUCUCUUCCCCCCACUUUUGUCUGUCUCCAUCUCUCUCCUCCCACACCUCUGUCUCUCUCUUCCCCAUCUCUUCUCUGCCUCUCUUUCUCUGCCUCUCUCUCCAUCUCUCUCUCCUUGCCUUUCUUUCUCUCCCCCUAUCUCUCCCCCCACAUCUCUAUCUCCAUCUCUCUCACCAUCUCUGUCUCUCUCUCCAUCUCCCUCUGUCUCCCCAUCUCUCUCCCUCCCCUCAUCUCUGUCUCUGCCUGUCUCCAUCUCUGUCUGUCUUCCCAUUUCUGGUCUCUCUCCCCAUGUCUCUCCCCACCCUUGCAUCUCUGUCUCUCCCCCUCAUCUCUGUCUUUCUCCCUGAAUCUCUGUCUCUCUCCCCCAACUGUCUCUCUCUCCGCAUCUGUCUCUCUCCCCCCAUCUGUGUCUCUCUCUGCAUCUGUCUCUCUCCCGCAACGGUCUCUCCCUGCAUCUGUCUCUCUAUCUCUCCCCCCAUCUCUCUCUGCAUCUCUGUCUCUCUCUCCCUGCAUGUCUAUCUCUCUCCGCAUCUGUCUCUCUCUCUCUCCCCCAUUUCUUUCUCCACAUUUCUGUGUCUCUCUCCCUCCUCCCAUCUGUGUCUCUCUCCCUCCAUCUCUCUCUCUCCUUCCAUCUCUGUCUCUCUCUCUCCCCUGCAUCUUUGUCUCUCCCCCAUCUCUGUCUCUCUCUCCCUGCAUCUCUGUCUCUGUCUCCCCCCCAUCUGUCUUUCUCUCCACAUCUGUCUCUCUCCCCCCAUCUCUGUCUCUGUCCACCUCUCUCACCAGCUGCUCCCAGACCCAGACCAUGCCAUCGUUGGCACGGGGGGCCCCGGCUGCAGCCCCAGGAGAGCUCCAGGCCCCGCUAGGGUCUCUCAAGGCGCGAGGAGGGGCGCCCAGCUCCGGCGGGGCCAGCCCGGCCCUGGCCAGCCGCCCCCAGGCCUCCAUCCUGAGCUAUCAGGGACACGCGGACACCCAGGGCCAAAGUCCGCACUGCCCAGGUUCCUGCUGCCUACCCACAAUCCCUCCUGCUGCUGGGGGCGUUCGAGGGGCCGCGGCUGCCGCUCCCCCCAGCAGCAGGAGGGAUGGAGGGCAGAUUCUAGGAAGGACUCAUGGCAGGGCUGGUGGGGAAGACAGCGCAGGACUCCAGAAAGAUGCUGAAUUAGGAGGCACUGCGCCUUUAAGAAGGGGCCGGGCCUAA